UACGGAGGGGGCUAGCGUUGUUCGGAAUUACUGGGCGUAAAGCGCGCGUAGGCGGAUCAGUCAGUCAGGGGUGAAAUCCCGGGGCUCAACCCCGGAACUGCCUUUGAUACUGCUGAUCUCGAGGACAGGAGAGGAGAGUGGAAUUCCCAGUGUAGAAAGUGAAUUCGUAGAUAGUGGAAGAACACCAGAGGCGAAGGCGGCUCUCUGGCCUGUUUCUGACGCUGAGGUGCGAAAGCGUGGGGAGCGAACAGGAUUAGAUACCCGCGUAGUCC
rnacentral:rRNA from 1 species